GAUCCCACUACUGAUCGACACGGGGGCUUUGACCUGCUCCGUCUCCGACCUGGGCCGGUUCACCCCUCCUUAGACCUGGUGGUCCCGAGCUCCCCCAGGAGCACCAUAUCGAUACCGAACUUAGUGUGGACACCUGAUCAACAUAGUCCACUGCAGCCCAGAACCCCUGAACUCAAGCGAUCCACCAGCCUCAGUCUCCCAGCAGCUUGGAUUACAGGCGCGCGCCACUGCACCCGACGAGAGCUGCAGCAUCAGCGCUGAUACUCAAUCUAGCUAUAUAUAUAUAUAUAUAUAGUAUUGUAUUUUGUUCACUGUAAGGUAAAGAGCAAAAAUCUGAAUGUCACAUUUAUUAGAAUCUCACAUCAUUUUUGCUAUGCAUUUUAAAA
rnacentral:lncRNA from 1 species